rnacentral:rRNA from 2 species
AGAUGACGCUGGCGGCGUGCCUAAUACAUGCAAGUCGAACGAGUUCUCGUUGAUGAUCGGUGCUUGCACCGAGAUUCAACAUGGAACGAGUGGCGGACGGGUGAGUAACACGUGGGUAACCUGCCCUUAAGUGGGGGAUAACAUUUGGAAACAGAUGCUAAUACCGCAUAGAUCCAAGAACCGCAUGGUUCUUGGCUGAAAGAUGGCGUAAGCUAUCGCUUUUGGAUGGACCCGCGGCGUAUUAGCUAGUUGGUGAGGUAAUGGCUCACCAAGGCGAUGAUACGUAGCCGAACUGAGAGGUUGAUCGGCCACAUUGGGACUGAGACACGGCCCAAACUCCUACGGGAGGCAGCAGUAGGGAAUCUUCCACAAUGGACGCAAGUCUGAUGGAGCAACGCCGCGUGAGUGAAGAAGGCUUUCGGGUCGUAAAACUCUGUUGUUGGAGAAGAAUGGUCGGCAGAGUAACUGUUGUCGGCGUGACGGUAUCCAACCAGAAAGCCACGGCUAACUACGUGCCAGCAGCCGCGGUAAUACGUAGGUGGCAAGCGUUAUCCGGAUUUAUUGGGCGUAAAGCGAGCGCAGGCGGUUUUUUAAGUCUGAUGUGAAAGCCCUCGGCUUAACCGAGGAAGCGCAUCGGAAACUGGGAAACUUGAGUGCAGAAGAGGACAGUGGAACUCCAUGUGUAGCGGUGAAAUGCGUAGAUAUAUGGAAGAACACCAGUGGCGAAGGCGGCUGUCUGGUCUGUAACUGACGCUGAGGCUCGAAAGCAUGGGUAGCGAACAGGAUUAGAUACCCUGGUAGUCCAUGCCGUAAACGAUGAAUGCUAGGUGUUGGAGGGUUUCCGCCCUUCAGUGCCGCAGCUAACGCAUUAAGCAUUCCGCCUGGGGAGUACGACCGCAAGGUUGAAACUCAAAGGAAUUGACGGGGGCCCGCACAAGCGGUGGAGCAUGUGGUUUAAUUCGAAGCAACGCGAAGAACCUUACCAGGUCUUGACAUCUUUUGAUCACCUGAGAGAUCAGGUUUCCCCUUCGGGGGCAAAAUGACAGGUGGUGCAUGGUUGUCGUCAGCUCGUGUCGUGAGAUGUUGGGUUAAGUCCCGCAACGAGCGCAACCCUUAUGACUAGUUGCCAGCAUUUAGUUGGGCACUCUAGUAAGACUGCCGGUGACAAACCGGAGGAAGGUGGGGAUGACGUCAAAUCAUCAUGCCCCUUAUGACCUGGGCUACACACGUGCUACAAUGGAUGGUACAACGAGUUGCGAGACCGCGAGGUCAAGCUAAUCUCUUAAAGCCAUUCUCAGUUCGGACUGUAGGCUGCAACUCGCCUACACGAAGUCGGAAUCGCUAGUAAUCGCGGAUCAGCACGCCGCGGUGAAUACGUUCCCGGGCCUUGUACACACCGCCCGUCACACCAUGAGAGUUUGUAACACCCGAAGCCGGUGGCGUAACCCUUUUAGGGAGCGAGCCGUCUAAGGUGGGACAAAUGAUUAGGGGAA